UACGGGGGGUGCGAGCGUUGUCCGGAAUCACUGGGCGUAAAGGGCGCGUAGGUGGCCAACUAAGUCAGACGUGAAAUCCCUCGGCUUAACCGGGGAACUGCGUCUGAUACUGGAUGGCUAGAGGUUGGGAGAGGGAUGCGGAAUUCCAGGUGUAGCGGUGAAAUGCGUAGAUAUCUGGAGGAACACCCGUGGCGAAGGCGGCUCUCUGGGACGGUACUGACGCUGAGACGCGAAAGCGUGGGGAGCGAACAGG
rnacentral:rRNA from 1 species